GGUUUAACGUAUGCCUUGAAGUGUUUACGUAUAUAUAUAUAUAUAUAUAUAUAUAUAUAUAUAUAUAUAUGUAAAGAUUUAUUUGCGAAUAUAAAUAUUAUUUACCUGCGAAUAUUGAUAGCAUGUUAUUGUUUGUUAUUUUUUCAGAAAAUUAUAUAGUUAAUUAUUUGGAAAAAUAGCAAAUAAUAUUAUGUUAAUAUAACAAUUAGUAGGAGUGUAACAUAUAAUAUAUAUUAGUAGUAGUAAAGAAAAUUCGGUAAUGAUGGGUAUAAUUUCUUAUAGUUUGUAAUACAUACGACUUAAGAAUAGAAGAGUAAAAAGAUUUAUGAUAGUUUUUGUGUUUUAAUGAGAACAUAUCAUAUAAUAUAUAGUCCACUAUUAUUAUAUUUUUAUUGAAUAUAAAUAGUAGGAUAGCUGUUCUGACCACAUUUAAAAUAGUUUAUUAUAAAAUUGAACAUUGCAUUAGAAAAGGAGAACCUUUGUUUAUUUUCCUUUUGCAUAUAUAUUACCUAUACAUUUGUUAUGGUAUAUACGUCAUGUAGUUUUAACUACGGGGAGGGUUAAAUA
rnacentral:sRNA from 1 species